rnacentral:rRNA from 1 species
AGAGUUUGAUCAUGGCUCAGAGUGAACGCUGGCGGCAGGCCUAAUACAUGCAAGUCGAACGGCAGCACAGCAGAGCUUGCUCUGUGGGUGGCGAGUGGCGGACGGGUGAGGAAUACGUGGGAAUCUGCCCAGUCGUGGGGGAUAACGUAGGGAAACUUACGCUAAUACCGCAUGCGCCCUUCGGGGGAAAGCCGGGGGACCUUUCGGGGCCUGGCGCGAUUGGAUGAGCCCACGUCGGAUUAGCUAGUUGGCGGGGUAAAGGCCCACCAAGGCGACGAUCCGUAGCUGGUCUGAGAGGAUGAUCAGCCACACUGGAACUGAGACACGGUCCAGACUCCUACGGGAGGCAGCAGUAGGGAAUAUUGGACAAUGGGCGCAAGCCUGAUCCAGCCAUGCCGCGUGAGUGAAGAAGGCCCUCGGGUUGUAAAGCUCUUUUGUCCGGAAAGAAAAGCGCCGGGUUAAUACCCUGGUGUCCUGACGGUACCGGAAGAAUAAGCACCGGCUAACUUCGUG